UAAAAGUUUUAAAACUUAAAAAUUUAUAUAUAAUUUUAUUUUAAAUGUAAAUGAUAGUGUUAAAAAUAUUAGUUUAAAUAAUUUAUUUUUGAAUAAAUUUUGCAAUAAUUAGUUUUAUUUAUUUAAGGAAUUAAGAAAUAGUAAUAAUUUAGAAUAUAGACUAAAUUUGUGCCAGCAGUUGCGGUUAUACAAAUUAUAUGAUAUAAAUUAUUUAGUAUUAGUUAAUUAUAAUUUAUUGAAUUUAUAAAGAAAUUUAUUAGGUGAAAUUUUAUAUUUAUAUAAUUUUAAAAAAUUUAAUGAAGCUAGAAAAUUUUGUUUGAAACUAGGAUUAGAUACCCUAUUAUAAAAAAGUAUAUUUUUUACUAAAUUAGUAUUAGUUUUAUUCUUGAAAAUUAAUUAAUUUGGCGGUAUUUUAGUCUAUUCAGAGGAACCUGUCCUGUAAUUGAUAUUCCACGAUUAAAUUUACUCAUAUUUUUAGCUUGUAUAUCGCCGUAUGAAGAAUAUUUUAGUUGAAUUUAAAUAUUCAAAAUUUUUAUUGAAAUAAAAUCAGGUCAUGAUAUAGUUUAUAUAUGAGAAGAGAUGGGUUACAAUAUUUAAAUAAGUUGGAAAAAUUAUUUUAAGUAAUUUUGAAAUUGGAUUUGAAUGUAAUUAUUAAAAAAUUUUAAUGAUGAUUUAAGCUCUAAAAUAUGUACAUAUCGCCCGUCGCUUUCACUAUAAAGUGGAAUAAGUCGUAACAUAGUAGAAGUACCGGAAGGUGUUUCUAGAAUUCG
rnacentral:rRNA from 1 species